rnacentral:misc_RNA from 1 species
AACCUUAUGGACCUGCGGGCGUAUACCUGCGGAAGGAUCAUUACCUAGAGUAUUGUAGGCUUUGUCCUGCUGUCUCUUACCCAUGUUUUUUGAGUACUUACGUUUCCUCGGCGGGUUCGCCCGCCGGCUGGACAAUUUAAACCCAUUGCAGUUGCAAUCAGCGUCUGAAAAACUUUAAUAGUUACAACUUUUAACAAUGGAUCU